CGCACGCGCCCGCGCCCUACCAGCCCGAGCGAUGAUGCCCGCGUCGGCCCCGCCGCACAGAGUGUGUGAGUACAGUACAUCGUGGACACGUUCCGCAGCAGUGCGGCGCGCCUGGCCGCCGCCUGGCCGCCGCACGCGCCCGCGCCCUACCAGCCCGAGCGAUGAUGCCCGCGUCGGCCCCGCCGCACAGAGUGUAACAUUUUAUGGAGGCUGGUUCUCGAUGUUUCCCAAGACUUUACUGACGCGGAACAGUGCAUUCCUAUGUUGUGUAGUGUACGAGUACGGGUAGUGAACCACUGACGCCCCGCGCGUGACAAGUGCUCUUACGUCGCCCCGCGGCGCUCUAGUCCAGUAUUUAUUGUUAUCGUAUACCGUUGUUGACACUAGGAAACUAACCGGAGGGUGCCAGUCUGUCCGAAUUGAGCCGCGAAUAAAACAUAACGAGUUAGAAAUUUCACAGGCUGUGAUAUGCGACUGAUUCCCUUAUAAAUAUGUUGUAAGGUAGUGUUGUUACUGAUAGCGGUAAGGACGGGUCCAGCGCAAGCGGACGUCGGUUCCUAGAGCGAACGCGCCGCGCUGUUGAAUUUACACGUACUAUUACAAAUUAUAUACAUUUUAAUUAAGAUAGAGCGAAUGCCACUAUGAAAAAUUAUAUGUUUACAUUCCAUAGUGCCAUUGUCUGUAACUUUAUUUUAAAUCAUAAUUAAGUUAUUAAGAUGCGAACCUCAGUUUCCAAAUGCACUCCUCACAUGAUCUCGCGCCUGUAUACAUAUCGGAGGUUCGAAGCCGCAGACGGGCCGUGGCGCUUGCAUUUGGAAACCGUCGGCGGCCGCCGGCGCCGCCCGCACGUUCGUGUCGGCCGCCACGCAUCCCCCGCUGCCGGGCUACACAAGGCUGAGGAUUCAUUGUUGCGAAUAUUCUCGAAUAGUCGCUCGGCCAUCCGCGCAACGAUGCUGCCUCACUACGCGUCCUAUUAUUUUUAAUAUUUAUAUUAUUUUAUGUAAGUUAUUUAAUGUGUACAUAGUAAGAAAGGAGAAAGAUGAAGAAAAAAUACAUAUAUAUGAAAUGCGUUCGUUGAUUGUGACGUGUAGGGUGCGACCGUUCGCCGGGACUCUGGACAUCACAGACAUCGCUCCGUCGUUAUUGACUAUUAUUACAAAAAAAUGGAAUGUUUUAAGAUUAUGUACAUUUUGUGUAAAUAUACUUUUAUGGUGCGUAAAGAGUAAAUGACAAAAAUAUGUAAUAAAAAAUGAUGUGGGGCCCGGCGCGAGCGCUCGUGCUGCUGGUGACUGGUCUGAUGUUAAGUUUUUAACGAUAACGCACAGAAAAUAUCCAAAGAUUGCUACACUUCUUCCUACAACGCCAGAUUCCAUAAAUACCAGAUUUCCAGAAUUAUCGGAUUUCGAUACACUAGACUUUUAACACCAAAUAUGCAGUACCAAAGAGAUAGUAAAUAAAUAUGAAUCUCAUAUUUUGGAAAUUCGGUAUUACUACGUUUUAGGAUUGGUUUGGGAAGGUCCAAAGUACAUAUUUUUAGGAGGCUCAUACAAUAUUUCUCUCUGCGUUAUUGUUAAAAAUGUGAAACAUCGGAAGUCGUGCUAUGAUGCUAUACUGUGGUGCUAGUGUUAUGUCACGAGCCAAAAAAAAUUCGCUCACUGCGGAACCAGCUAUCUAAUUUAUUUGUAAUGUUUAUGAUAUAAACUAAUUGGUGCUAUUAUAUUGUUAUGUUGCCUUAUUGUAUAGGCCAAAGCCGCGGCCUCGAUUGCUGUUGAAUAGGUGCCUAGAUUAAGAACUCAAAUAUUAUGCUAGAUCUCGAAUUCCUACGUCAAAGUAAGGUUAAAUUAAGAACGGGCAUAUCUUUUAAAAUAACAGGCACUGUUACCUUUACUAUCGUUAGGGAUUUGUGCUACAUAAACUAAUAGUUCAUAGUUCAUCGGUGCCUAGCGCAAGUGUCGUUGUCGCUCGCAACGUAAAGUUGUUAAUGAAUUACAAAAUUUAUGCAAUUCUGUUAAGCAUUAUUGAAUUUUACUUAGAUGAAGUCGAUAUUAGUCAUUCGAUAUUAAAUGGUUUUACAGUUUCAUAUAAUAAAAGUUGUCGCUUCAAAGUCUAGUGCAGAGUAUUAUAUUAGUAUUGUUUGCUAGUCCGUAUGUCUGGCGUCGCGCGUGGUACAUGCGGCGCCCGUGCUCGCGUCGGGGGUACCUUUUGUUCUAUGGCCUUAGCUCUUCUCGGUGGAUGUUGACAGGAUGUUAAGAUUUUAAUCAUUCGUAAGGAAUAAAUAAAUACUUGCAUAUCCUGUCAUGAAGGAGUAGUUUAUCGACGUAAAAACAAACAGCGGUACGUCUCCGGCCGCCGCACUCCACUCGAGCUCUUUACUUUUUGUAAAUAAUCGCCAGGCAAUUUUAUAGCGUUAUGUAUAAGUUUUAUAUCGAUUUUACAUUGGCACUCGGCCGCGCUGAAUAUAAAAGUACAAUAAAUAAUUUUAAAACAACUUAUAUAUGUCUAAGAAUACUGAUUAGAAUAAUAUUAAAAAGUGUCUCAAAACUGUUUAAUUUUUGAAAAGGUAUAAUAACUUGAUGAAGCCGACAUCAAAAAAAUAUAAAUAAAAACUAAAAAAUAUAAAAAAAAAACUAAAAAAAAUAAAUAAAAACGCCAUAAAAAACACAAAAAGAGAAAAAAAAAUAUUGACUUGACUUCGAUCAGAGACUGAUCGAACGCCAUGUCGUUGUGGCGAAAGGGGAAAGGGAAGGUUUUCACAGCUGAAUUCGAGCGCAAAGUUGACGAAAGGUAUUAUUGUCUACCCGUCAAUGUAGCUCAUUUAGGUGAGGUGAUAAAGAUGGGGGGUUCUUUCUAGUUAGUUCCUACGCUCAGGCGGCGGUGAUCUUUGUGCCAACGGCAUAGAGUUCACUGUCGACUGCAGGAUUGUAUGCUAGUAACUACUGGCUAUAGCCCGAUGGUGGAACCGACCUGCUGCGCGCCCUCUCGUGCGCAGGGAGUGCGCGCCGCGGUCGCGUGUCCACCCUGAAGUUUCCCUUUACUGGAUGCUCUCGGCCCUCCCACGACUGCGCGGCGGCGAGUUGAUAAGUGGAAGCGAGCAAAAAUCAUGGCAAACUCUUACACCUGGUCGUUGGACGCUGCCGCGUCAUGUGGUGGGAACAACGUAACACUUGGCUAUUAUCUUCCGAAUAUCUGAAGUCAAGACCGCGCAGAGUAUCCACUGAAACCAAGGGAACAGUAACAGAAUAAGCUCCAACGACCACAAAGUCCACACAAGCGCCCUUAACAAUUUUACCAUCCAGCUGCAAUAAAGAAAUUAGAUUUAUCCAAACUCUCUUGUUAUAUAUCACGCUGCUGUUUAUUGGUGCUAAAGCCGGGUGGCCGUUGAAAGAUCCGGUGUAUGAUGCUUGAGAAUUUAAGGAGGCUUUGUUAAAGCCUCGCGGCCUUAACGAGAACUUGAAACUGCCGUUUGUAUUAAAUUUUUGCUCAUUGUUUUAUAAUUGUGCCAGAUAUUAUCGUCACAGCGUACAGUUUGUUCCUUUGCCGCUUGUCUUCAAAUCAUCUCUCCAGCCGGGCUAGCACAGGAGUGACGCGACCCGUCCCUCUUUCAUUGAUAAUGUCAGAAAAAGGCGGGUAGUCUAUCUCGCGGACGAGAUACUGUCGCUAGCCCUACAGAAGUACAAGAUCCAUAAAUGUCAGAAUUUUGCUCUAUUCCAUAUUUUAAUCCCAUAUUCCAGGUUUUAGGCAUAGUACAAUUAAAAUAAUUUCAAAACCCAAUUAAAAUAGCCAAAAUUUUUCGAUUCUGCUCAUUGAGUUAGCUCGUUUAGGUCUCGAGAUUCACGCUCAGUUUCCAUAGUUUGUUGUCGGCCGACAACAACUCAUGGCGCAAAAAACUAGUUGUGUGCCGGUUCUAUACGUAGUAAUAAUGCUUCAGAUUCUGCUACAUGUAAUAAAAAUGAUAUUUUAGAAAUGAGAUAUUUUGAGUUGAUUGUAUUUGUAGGACAAGCGGAAGGUUCAGUCUGGCUGUGAGUUCUCUCAAAUUGUUAGGUGUAACGUAAUAAUUUGUGAAAUUAAAAUGUACUUAACCUUUAUUUUGAUGUUCAUAUAAAUAAAGUGCAAAAUUAUUUCGUGAAAAUCGGAUGUUAUUGGUAUUGAGCCAAUUGUGUAUAAUGUUAAUAUUGUAAAGUAUUGUAAAUGUACGUAAAUCUCUAAUUAAUAAAUAACUAUAGUUUUUCAGCCCCAAGGCUUUCAAAUAAAAUUGUUUUGUAAAAAUAUUUUUGUCAUAUUUUUGACAACUUUUGUGUUGCAUUUUAUUUUAUUGAACACAAGUCAUUUUAUUGUCCUUGUUAUACAAAUAAAUUAUUGUAAAGAAAGUAUUCUGUAAUAGUUAAACAUUAUACAAACCGCCGAAA